CUUGACCGUCAUAACCAUUGUGGAGCAUAUGUUGUGAGAAAUGAGGUGCGCGGUCAACGUUUGUGUACAACUUUGGACAAGCCUCGCUAAUCGAUUCAAUCUGUUGCAUGCAUUUUGUGUUACCUUUUCCACACAUUGAAUAACAGGUGAAACUAUUAUUCAGGUCUGUAGUUAUCUUGAUAUGCGCCUCAUAAACAGAAGCAGUCUGUUAUCGGGCCUGUUAUGUUUUUUAAUAGUAGGAUGCUGUCUUAUCUGGCUGAAGCAUAUGCUUAACUGGGAUCCUCCGGCUUUCGGUACUCAAAGCAAUUUAUUCAAUAAUAUUUAUUCGGGCAGCUUGGAAACAAAUACUUCGGCUGGAAAUCUUGUGGGGUCGAUCAAAAACGCCAUGGCAAGGCGGCCUCUCAACUAUAGUUACAAGGAAAGACAAGACGUUCGAAGUAUACAUGCGCAGUACAACAUCCACCCGGAAUCGUGUGCUGGAAUUGCUGGCUCGAUUUUUAUGUUAAUUGCAGUUGCCAGUGGCGCAAAAAACUUCGAGAAGAGGAGAGCCAUUCGCGAAACGUGGGGACAACAUGGGACGGUUACUUGUGGCGUAAAAUUUUUUUUUCUACUCGGGAAAGUGUACAAUGUAACGUUACAGCAGUUGAUAGCCUACGAAGCCCGCCAGCAUGGCGAUGUUUUGCAAUCGAACGUGUUCGAGGAUUCUCCCCUGUCAUCGCCCCAAAGGAUGUACCAUCUGUUUCAAUGGGCAAAUACUUUCUGCACAGACGUUUCUUUAGUAGCAAGGUCGGAUGACGACUGUUUUAUUAGCAUUCCAAACGUUAUGGCAUACUUUCGAAAAGAGAAUACCCGCAGGAUGAAAGGUUUCUAUGGUUGGACGCACCACGGUGGGGUACUCGGACACAGAAAUCCCAAUAGUAAAUACUACACAUCCCGGGAAGACUUUCCGGGCGAUACCGUGCCUGAUUUUGUUGUGGGGUAUUUCAUUGUUGUAACCGCAGAUGCUAUACCAACCCUUCUAAACGCGAGCCGUUAUGAGAGCCGGUUCACCGUUGAUGAUAUUUUGUUCGGAAUGAUGUCACAAUCCCUAGACCUUUCACGUGGACAUUUGCCUAAAGUGUGCAUAAACUACUUCCAAUCAAAUAGCCAGUGCCCGAAAAAGGAAUAUACAGUUAUCCAUUACGUUGAAAGCCACCAAAUGUACGUCUUAUGGAAUGAUCCUUGUUCUCCAAAUACCAUUGCUUGUGAAGUUUGACGUAAGCGUAUUAAAAGCGGCCGUAAUGCCACCGAACAGAAACCAAUCUGCUGACCACGAAGACGAACCCCAAUAGCGAUCCAAAUCAAAAUCGUGUUUGUAGUGGUAUUCGGCCUGCUUUUUAGUAUUCGGCCGCUAGCGGCGGAAGUACGAAAAGCGGGGAACGUAACUGCCCUCGAAGCAGUUUUACCACUUGCCACAAAUGUCGAAAUCACCACAACUAUCUGUCGAAUUACAGUUUCAAAAAAAGCUUGACUUUGUCAUUUUGAACAUUUAUGAUUCAAAUUCGCUUUAGUUUAUUUAAAAAUGAAACUGGCCACGUUAAUGAAGUUGUAUGUCCGAAAAAAUACUUCUCAACUGCUGUUUUUAAUUCUGCGACGUAAGAUACUUCGACGGAGACGAAAAACAUAUUUUCAUGACGAAUGGCGCGCAGCAUCAUUUAGCUUGAAUGCUUUAAGCGAGGAGUGUUGGGAUUUUUUCCGCUUUAAGAAGCAUGAUCUUCCUAUGUUGGCGGCGGCGCUUAAAUUCCGGAUUUGGUGUGGACUGCAGAAGGAGACUGUGUGAAUGCUGUGGAGGUCUUAUGAAUUUUGUUGCGCCGUCUGUAUUAUCCAAACCGAUCGACUGAACUGCGUAAAUUUUGUAAAAUUUUUAGUCGUUCCCAAGGUUCCAUGUGGAGAAUUUUCUACGCGGUCUUGUCGAUACUGGAUCGCUUAUGGUCGAAGCAUCUUUCCCGCCUGGAUCAUCCCUGGUUGUCAGAAGAAGAUCUUUCGGGGUACGCUUCGGCUAUCUCACAGAAAUGGGGUGUUUUCCCAGAUGUUUUUGCCUUUAUCGACGGGACGGCGCGUCCCAUUUGCCGAUCAACAUAUAACCAGAAGAUCAUGGACAGCGGCCAUAAACGUGUCCACUGCAUUAAUUGGCAGUCCAUUCUACUACCAAACGGAUUGAUUUGCUACCUGUACGGCGGUGAACCUGGUAGUGUCCAUGACAGUCGGGUGUUUCAAGAGAGUGAAAUGCUCUGGCGAUUGAAAACUAUGCAGAGCACCUUUUGCCGGAAAUUCUCGCUAUAUGGAGAUUCUGGUUAUGGAAUGAACGAAUAUUUAAGGAAGCCUUACUCAAAACUUCAGACAGCGUACAACCGCGCAAAAGACACCAGAACGAUGCCAUGAAAUCUGUGGAAUGGGGGUUCAAGGAAGUGGUUGUUAAAUUCGCUUUUGUGGACUUCAAAAAACAGAUGAAGUUAUUUGAGAAACCCGUCAACAAAAUUUUUCGUACGGCUGUUUUUUUCACAAAUUGUUGCAAUUGUUUGUACCCUAACCAAGUAAGUCAGUAGUUUAAUGUUGAACCACCAACACUGGAAGAAUAUCUGUGCUAAACAUCGGGAAUAAAUU